rnacentral:rRNA from 1 species
GAUGAACGCUGGCGGCGUGCCUAAUACACGCAAGUCGAGCGAACAGACGAGGAGCUUGCUCCUUUGACGUUAGCGGCGGACGGGUGAGUAACACGUGGAUAACCUACCUAUAAGACUGGGAUAACUUCGGGAAACCGGAGCUAAUACCGGAUAACAUGUUGAACCGCAUGGUUCAACAGUGAAAGACGGUCUUGCUGUCACUUAUAGAUGGAUCCGCGCCGCAUUAGCUAGUUGGUAAGGUAACGGCUUACCAAGGCAACGAUGCGUAGCCGACCUGAGGGGGUGAUCGGCCACACUGGAACUGAGACACGGUCCAGACUCCUACGGGAGGCAGCAGUAGGGAAUCUUCCGCAAUGGGCGAAAGCCUGACGGAGCAACGCCGCGUGAGUGAAGAAGGUCUUCGGAUCGUAAAACUCUGUUAUUAGGGAAGAACAAAUGUGUAAGUAACUAUGCACGUCUUGACGGUACCUAAUCAGAAAGCCACGGCUAACUACGUG